GCCUCCUCUGUGCACAGAUGGGGAAACUGAGGCCGGGAUGGGAAGGACUCAGCCAAGGCCGCACAGCAAGUCUGGGCAGAGCAUGGACCAGGCUCUUCCUACUUUCUCCACGGCACCGGGUGGAGGAAUCACAUGCAGAUCCUGCCCCUUCCAAGCUCAUAGUCGUGCUAGGGAGACAGGCCAAGGGGAAGCGUCUGACAGGUCUCACCAGCCAGACCUGAGAGAGACCCAGCUCUGCAGGCCUCGGCGCCUGCCCAGCAGUUCAACAGCCUGAUGCUGACUAUGUCUUCACAGCCCUUUACAGUUUGCAAAGCACUUGU